AGCCGUUCGUCGGUUUAAGUUUAGGUACGUACUAACGACCGGGCCGAGCUCACCGGAGUAAGUAACAGCUGGAUGAUAGACCCGGGGCUGAAGACUCUGCUUGACUGGCUGAGAGGAGGUGCAUGGCCGUCGUCAGUUCGUACUGUGAAGCAUCCUGUUAAGUCAGGCAACGAGCGAGACCCACGCCAACAGUUGCCAGCAUGUCCUCCGGGAUGAUGGGGACACUGUUGGGACCGCCUCUGCUAAAGAGGAGGAAGGAAUGGGCAACGGUAGGUCAGCAUGCCCCGAAUUAUCCGGGCUACACGCGGGCUACAAUGGUCAGGACAAUGGGUAUCGACACCGAGAGGUGGAGGCAAUCUCCUAAACCUGUCCUUAGUUCGGAUUGUGGGCUGCAACUCGCCCACAUGAAGCUGGAAUCCGUAGUAAUCGCGUUUCAAAAUAGCGCGGUGAAUAUGUCCCUGCUCCUU
rnacentral:rRNA from 1 species